rnacentral:rRNA from 1 species
ACGCUCGACACCUACGGAGGCAGCAGUGGGGAAUAUUGGGCAAUGGAGGCAACUCUGACCCAGCAACGCCGCGUGAAUGAUGAAGGUCUUCGGAUUGUAAAGUUCUGUGACGGGGGACGAACACAAUGACGGUACCCCGAUAGCAAGCCACGGCUAACUACGUGCCACAGCGCGGUAAUCUGAGCGGGCUGGCAAGGC